AUGCAAGAUACUGGCUUUAAAGGAAAAUAUAUGGGGAAAAAUACAUUGAAGUACAAAGGUCAAGAUGGAACACAUGGUGAAUCUUCUCCAAAGAAUAAAAGGAAGACUUCUGAAGAUAUCAUAUUAAUUUAUCCUGCUGGAGACCAGAAUACAUAUGAAGAAAUAUCUGGAAAUACAUCAGCUGCUGCUCAUCAGAAUCAAAAUCGUCCAGAGAAUUUUAUGAAAAAAUCCUCAACUUCUGUUGUUCAGGCAAAUGUGCAGGAUAAUGGUAUAAAUCAAAAGAGAGAUGGGAUGAUAUCUAAAAACUCAAGUAUUGUCGAUGAUAGAGGAGAUACAAACAUUUCAGGCCAAGGUUCAAUUAUUUCAGCUCAAGUGUCACCCACAAGAAAUUUAUCCAUACUUUCACAGGCAUGUUUGGAUCCUUUAAAAGAAGAGGAGACAAAUGCUAAUCGUAAUGGAAAACCAACCAAGAGAUCAAGCUAUCUCUACAAUUCAGGUAACUUCUGAAGAACUGAAUAUUAUAAUUCAGAAUAUAAUGACCUGGGUUGUGGCUAAAGUGACUAGUAUAUUGUACCCAGCCAUCACAAAGUAUGAAGAAAGAUUGAGAAAUAAUACAUACCCAGCAUCUGAUAACUCCAUCCUCUCUUCAGAUAGUUCAAGUUUCUGUAGCACAUGCAGUGAAGACUUUACAUAUAGAACCUACAUAUCUUCAACAACUAAAACAUUUCAGGCAGAACCCUGUGCAUUUGCAGUGGACCUGUCAGUAAGACCAACCACACUGAUACAACUUUCUCCUGCACAUAAGGAAAGAACUGUUUUGGGGAAAACCUAUCAUGCAAAAGGACAAUCUAUAACCCGAACACUUAAAUAUAAUAAAAUCAAUGUGCUAUGAUCAUACCCUAAGCUCAGAAGUUGUAAAUCAGACAGUGAUCUUUUAGCAUCAUUUGAAACAAGCACAACAAAGUAUAAGGAUGCUACUACUCAAACAGAUAGCCUACGGAGUUCAUCGAUUUGUGAUAAAAAAGCAAAAGCCAUAGAUGAAAUGA
rnacentral:lncRNA from 1 species